rnacentral:rRNA from 1 species
AAAGAUUAAGCCAUGCAUGUCUAAGUACAUGUGUAAUUUAACACGAAACCGCGUAUGGCUCAUUAUAACAGCUAAAAUUUACUUGAUUUUGACUUUUAUCCUACAUGGAUAACUGUGGUAAUUCUGGAGCUAAUACAUGCAUAAAAGAUAAAACAUUUAUUUGUUUUAUUGCGUAUAUUAGUAUUAAAACCAAGCAUUCUUUGGAAUGUUUUGUGUUGAACCUGAAUAUAUCAUGCUGAUCGUAUGGUCUUGUACCGACGACAUGUCAUUCAAGUGUCUGAUCUAUCAACUUUCUAUAUAAGUAUAUAGUACUUAUAUGGUUCUGACGGAUAACGGGGUAUUAGGGUACGACUCCGGAGAAAAUGCCUGAGAAACGGCGUUUACAUCCAAGGAAGGCAGCAGGCGCGAAAAUUACCCACUCUCAGUACGAGGAGGUAGUGACGAGAAAUGACAAGGUCUACUCCUUCGGGGAUGGAUCAUUGGAAUGGUUUGAUUUUAAAAUCAUUAAAGAGUAUCAAUGAGAGGGCAAGUCUGGUGCCAGCAGCCGCGGUAAUUCCAGCUCUCAUACUGCAUUGAAUUGUUGUUGCGGUUAAAAAGCUCGUAGUUGGAUCUGUACAUGAUAGGUUAGUUCAUCCUUUGGAUUGUAACUAAUACUAAAUGUUUUUUAUUAGAUUUUUUUUAUUCCUUACGGGAUAAAAAUGUCUAGUGAGUUUACUUUGAAUAAAUCAGAGUGCUCAAAACAGGCGUAAGCUUGUAUGGUUUUGCAUGGAAUAAUAGAACAUGACUAUGAUUUAUGUUUUAUUGGUUUUACUACCAUUGUAAUGAUUAAAAGGGACAAACGGGGGCAUCCGUAUCGCAGGGCGAGAGGUGAAAUUCGUGGACCCUUGCGAGACGAACUACAGCGAAAGCAUUUGCCAAGAAUG